CCUACGGGGGGCUGCAGUGGGGAAUAUUGCACAAUGGGGGAAACCCUGAUGCAGCGACGCCGCGUGAGUGAAGAAGUAUUUCGGUAUGUAAAGCUCUAGCAGCAGGGAAGAAAAUGACGGUACCUGAUUAAGAAGCCCCGGCUAAAUACGUGCCAGCAGCCGCGGUAAGACGUAGGGGGCAAGCGUUAUCCGGAUUUACUGGGUGUAAAGGGAGCGUAGACGGUGAUGCAAGUCAGAAGUUAAAGCCAGGGGCUCAACUCCGGGACUGCUUUUGAAACUGUGUGACUUGAGUGCAGGAGAGGUAAGCGGAAUUCCUGGUGUAGCGGUGAAAUGCGUAGAUAUCAGGAGGAACACCAGUGGCGAAGGCGGCUUACUGGACUGUAACUGACGUUGAGGCUCGAAAGCGUGGGGAGCAAACAGGAUUAGAUACCCGUGUAGUC
rnacentral:rRNA from 1 species